CCUACGGGAGGCAGCAGUGAGGAAUAUUGGUCAAUGGGCGCGAGCCUGAACCAGCCAAGUCGCGUGAGGGAAGACGGUCCUAUGGAUUGUAAACCUCUUUUGUCGGGGAGCAAAAGACGCCACGCGUGGCGUUCCGAGAGUACCCGUAGAAACAGCAUCGGCUAACUCCGUGCCAGCAGCCGCGGUAAUACGGAGGAGGCGAGCGUUAUCCGGAGUUAUUGGGUUUAAAGGGUGCGCAGGCGGAGGAUCAAGUCAGCGGUAAAAUUGAGAGGCUCAACCUCUUCGAGCCGUUGAAACUGGCGUUCUUGAGUGGGCGAGAAGUAUGCGGAAUGCGUGGUGUAGCGGUGAAAUGCAUAGAUAUCACGCAGAACUCCGAUUGCGAAGGCAGCAUACCGGCGCCCAACUGACGCUGAAGCACGAAAGCGUGGGUAUCGAACAGGAUUAGAUACCCCAGUAGUC
rnacentral:rRNA from 1 species